GGAAACUAUGUGUUCGUGUUUGAGAUUAUUCUUCAUGAUUCAGAGCAAAUGGAUAUUUAUGCCACUGGUGGGCGGAUUCGAGUGCCAAUAUAUGUCUCAGGAGUUGUCAAAAUUGAGAAUGCAGAGAUUGCAGUUCUUGAUAGCGAUCUAGGGAGUAUUGAGACCCAGAAGAAGCUUGAUUUAGUUGGUGAGAGUGUUGUUUCAUUGUCAGCAAACCACCUGCAGAAAUUGCGUCUAUUAUUUCAACUGGCCACACCACAAGGACAUGGUUUUAAGCCGCAUCAGGCUUUUCUCAAGCUGAGGCAUGAAAGUGGCGUUGAACAUAUCUUUGUGGUUGAAGGCUCUGGCAAACAAUUUGAAAUAAUUCUAGACUUCCUCGGGCUGGUUGAGAAGUUUUUCUAUCUCUCGGGUCGAUAUGACAUUCAGUUAACUGUUGGUGAUGCCGUCAUGGAGAAUUCUUUCAUACGGGCCAUUGGUCAUAUCGACUUGGAUCUACCUGAGGCACCAGAGAAGGCACCUCGUCCACCUCUACAGCCUGUUGAUCCUUACACACGCUAUGGACCCAAAGCUGAAAUAAGUCACAUCUUCAGGGCUCCAGAAAAGCGCCCACCUAAGGAGCUCUCUCUUACAUUCUUGGGUCUCACAUUUUUACCGUUCCUUGGAUUUCUGAUAGGGCUAUUGCGAUUGGGUGUGAAUCUGAAGAACUUCCCGACUUCGACAGUACCUGCUACCUUCGCUUUUCUCUUCCAUCUUAGCAUUGUAGCAGUUAUCCUGCUUUACACGUUCUUUUGGUUGAAGUUGGACCUGUUUACAACAUUGAAAGCACUGGGCAUCUUGGGUGUUUUCUUGGUGUUUGUGGGACACAGGACUCUUUCCCACCUUGCUUCAACUUCAGCCAAGUUGAAAUCUGCCUGAGAUUUUUGGUGGUUCUCAUUUUUCUUUUUUUGAGGAAAGAGAACUUUUAGGAAAUUUUGCUUUCAGAGACUAGUUAUAGGAACUCUUUAUAUUUAUGGUUCAAUCCAGGCUUUGUA
rnacentral:misc_RNA from 1 species